rnacentral:misc_RNA from 1 species
AUAUAGAAGGCCCAAGCCCAAGGAGCCAAUCUUGAAAGUCCUGUAAGGCAGUGCUCCAAAUCAAUUUGGGUGAAAAUCAAGAAGAGGAAGAAGAACAGAUCGAAAAUGGGGAAGCCAUUGGGAACCACCGGAGAGUUUUUCAGGAGAAGGGACGAGUGGAGGAAGCAUCCUAUGUUGUCCAAUCAGUUCCGCCACGCUUUCCCUGGUCUUGGCAUCGCUGUUGUAGCCUUCAGUAUCUAUUGUGUCGGCGAAUUUGCCUAUAACAAGAUGUCUACUCCUUCUCACUCCACCUCUUCCGCCGCUGCUUCUCACUCUCACUGAGAUUCGAAAUGGGUCGUGCUUGUAGUGAACCCCAAUUGUCUCUUUUGGUGAGGUGGUAGUGCUACAACUGGGAUGACUAUACAGUUCAGUCGUGUUUUUUUCUCAGUAAUCAUCAAUCAAUAAGAUACUUAACAAACAUGUCCACAUGUUGCCUCAAUUUUUUUGAGACUUGUGUUGUAACAAGAUUAAUGAGCAGUUUGCUUUACUAUUUAUGUUCUGGUUUUCUAUAAAAGAAGAAAA